UUAUAGGUUUUCGAGCUCAGCCAGCCCAGCCCAGCCUAGCCACCAUUUUUCAUCAUGAAGGAUUUUGGAUUUGUAGUUUUAGUGGCUGUACUUAAGUAUUCCGGCACUUUGUGAACUUCCUAGAGUGAUUGACUUCCCGAGAUUGAAACUGCCUGCCUGUAAGAAAGGCUUCUCAUGUGGUUAUAUAGCAACCGACGAAUACAGGGCCAUCGAACUUUCCAUUAAAGAGCCUUGCAUUCAAAGCGACUGUAUUUGUCCAAAGGGAACUGAUUGCAGAUUUUAUGGAGUGGUAAUAAAAAAAGUGUAUGAUUACCGUUGUUACCUUUCUUUAAGAACUCAGAGUGGAAUAUUUGUUUAGAAUAAGGACUUUGUUUUCAAGCAAUGAAAGAUUCAGUUAAAAAAAUGUUGAGUGGUGCUCCUCGCUAAAAUUUUCAUUCAUUUUUAUAUCAAGAAAUAUUGUAGUCAAUAAAGUUUUCUUAUUCACUAAAACUA
rnacentral:lncRNA from 1 species